CCCACAGGUGAAAAAGGAGGGAGCUACACUCAGGCUGCAGGCAGUGACAGUGACCAGGGCUCCGAUGUGUCCCUUACCAAGGAUCCUAGAGUGUGAGACAGCUGCCUUGUGGGAACUGAGGGACACAAGAUUUGUUCACGUCCCACUUUGUGAAUCCAGAUCCCCUGACUCCUGUUUCUGCAGCUGCCUCUGAAAGGGUCUGUGUUCCUAUGAGCAUCCUGAGAGGAGGUGGGGACCCUGGCCCCCACGUCCCCUCCUCACCCUGACCUGUGUUCUCUUCCAUGAUCCUCUUUCCAGUUCUUGCAAGUGGGAGCCGGGCGGGGGGAGGGGGGGCACUGGACCAUCUCCAUCCUUACUUAACUUGACUGCCCUGAGUAAUGACUUCCUGUUGAAUUUGCUUUUUCUAAUUGGUGCCAUGAGGAGUUGAGGGGAUAAUAAAUGAGAGAUUUCCUAUGUUUGAAAGAGGAAAUAAAUGGAAGGAUUGAGAACCUUCCAGAAUCCACA
rnacentral:lncRNA from 1 species